rnacentral:lncRNA from 1 species
AUGCACCAUUUAGUUGAAAAAGUUUGAAAAAACAUUAGAGAAAUUCAAAUUAUACUCCUUUUGUUAUGUUUUCUAACGAUUGAGAUUCAGUUUAGAUGUGACAGGAACCCUUAUGUGGAAGAUUCCUCCUUUUCUUUACAUCAGAUUCAAUCUGUAACAUUUAAGGUUGAAGGUUUGUGGUUUGACUAUUUUCUUAGACUCUUUGUGAAACAAUCUAUGAUUUGA